GGACCCGCACAAGCGGUGGAUGAUGUGGAUUAAUUCGAUGCAACGCGAAAAACCUUACCUACCCUUGACAUGUCCGGAACCCUUUGGAAACUUAGGGGUGCUCGCAAGAGAACCGGAACACAGGUGCUGCAUGGCUGUCGUCAGCUCGUGUCGUGAGAUGUUGGGUUAAGUCCCGCAACGAGCGCAACCCUUGUCAUUAGUUGCUACGCAAGAGCACUCUAAUGAGACUGCCGGUGACAAACCGGAGGAAGGUGGGGAUGACGUCAAGUCCUCAUGGCCCUUAUGGGUAGGGCUUCACACGUCAUACAAUGGUCGGGACAGAGGGUUGCCAACCCGCGAGGGGGAGCCAAUCCCAGAAACCCGAUCGUAGUCCGGAUUGGAGUCUGCAACUCGACUCCAUGAAGUAGGAAUCGCUAGUAAUCGCGGAUCAGAAUGCCGCGGUGAAUACGUUCCCGGGUCUU
rnacentral:rRNA from 1 species